CCAAGCGCCCCCACGUUCGGAUUGCAGGCUGCAACCCGCCCUGCAUGAAGCCGGAAUCGCUAGUAAUCGCGGAUCAGAAUGCCGCGGUGAAUACGUUCCCGGGUCUUGUACACACCGCCCGUCACACCAUGGGAGCCGGGAAUGCCCGAAGUCAGUGGCCCAACCGCAAGGGGGGAGCUGCCGAAGGCAGGCCUGGUGACUGGGGUGAAGUCGUAACAAGGUAGC
rnacentral:rRNA from 1 species